rnacentral:rRNA from 1 species
GACGUAGGGUCCAAGCGUUGUCCGGAUUUACUGGGCGUAAAGAGCGCGUAGGCGGCUCGUUAAGUGUGAAGUGAAAUCUCCAGGGCUCAACCCGGAAACUGCUUCGCAUACUGGCGAGCUGGAGUGACGAAGAGGUUUGUGGAAUUCCAGGUGUAGCGGUGAAAUGCGUAGAUAUCUGGAGGAAUACCGGUGGCGAAGGCGGCAUCCUGGACCGAGAUUGACGCUGAUGAGCGAAAGCUAGGGGAGCAAACGGG